rnacentral:rRNA from 1 species
UACGGGGGGAGCAAGCGUUGUUCGGAUUUACUGGGCGUAAAGGGCGCGUAGGCGGCGCAACAAGUCACUUGUGAAAUCUCCGGGCUUAACCCGGAGCGGCCAAGUGAUACUGUCGUGCUAGAGUGCGGAAGGGGCUACUGGAAUUCUCGGUGUAGCGGUGAAAUGCGUAGAUAUCGAGAGGAACACCUGCGGCGAAGGCGGGUAGCUGGGCCGACACUGACGCUGAGGCGCGAAAGCCAGGGCAGCGAACGGG